rnacentral:rRNA from 1 species
AGAGCGAACGCUGGCGGCAGGCUUAACACAUGCAAGUCGAGCGCCCCGCAAGGGGAGCGGCAGACGGGAGAGUAACACGUGGGAACGUACCCUUUGGUUCGGAACAACCCAGGGAAACUUGGGCUAAUACCGGAUAAGUCCGUAAGGAGAAAGAUUUAUCGCCAAUGGAUCGGCCCGCGUCUGAUUAGCUAGUUGGUGAGGUAAUGGCUCACCAAGGCGACGAUCAGUAGCUGGUCUGAGAGGAUGAUCAGCCUCACUGGGACUGAGACACGGCCCAGACUCCUACGGGAGGCAGCAGUGGGGAAUAUUGGACAAUGGGCGCAAGCCUGAUCCAGCCAUGCCGCGUGGGUGAUGAAGGCCCUAGGGUUGUAAAGCCCUUUCGGCGGGGAAGAUAAUGACGGUACCCGCAGAAGAAGCCCCGGCUAACUUCGUGCCAGCAGCCGC